AAGUCGUAACAAGGUUUCCGUAGGUGAACCUGCGGAAGGAUCAUUAGCGAGAGCCUGCCACGGACGCAAGUCUGUGAGCAAGCGCGCCAUCCUUGUGUUGUGUGUGUUGCCUGUGCACCCGGCAGCGUCUGUGACAAUGUCUGACAAUGUCUGUGACAACGUCGGUGUGCACACGCGCAUUUUCACCCAUUAUUCCCAUUUAUCUAAUGCAACUGCUCAUACUGAGCACAAACAACCGAAAACUGCCAGCAAUGGAUCACUCGGUUCUC
rnacentral:misc_RNA from 1 species